rnacentral:rRNA from 1 species
UCGUGGAGUGAUCUGUCUGCUUAAUUGCGCUUCAGAUUACAUGGGUUUACUUUAUGUAUAUUACAUUAUAUCUUUGGAUAUUUAUUGUUCUAUACUGGUUGCCCUAUGAAAGCAACGAACGUGACCGAGUCUCCUUGUUACCUUUAUUAUUAUAAUUUAUUAUAAUAUCAAAGGCAAACUAGGGGGACUGCAAGGGUUUUUUAACCUUGAGGAAGGACUCGGCAAUAACA